UGGAGUAAACAAUUCUGAUUUCAUGUCUUAUCCUCCAAACCCAACUAGCCAAUGAAUAUUGAGCAUGUGUCAAACAAAAUCUCCCCUCUCCUCUUGCAUGUUCCACAACUAAGCUGAGAAAAAUCCUUGAGCCCUUCAUGAUAUGUCUCGGCUAAAGACUCCCUUGAACAAGGGAUCGAUUUAUCCAUGACCCAAACUGAUCCCAUUCCAUUUUCCAAGCAGCGUGAAAGAAAACAAAAAGUUAGUCAUCAUUCCUCACCAUCUCCUUAUGUGUAGGUUAGAGAACAAAACAGAAAAGAUGAGCCUGCAAACCGUUAAAUAAAAACAGAAAACAUUGUUAUCCCAAUCUCCUCCUAAACCGUGGAUUCCUCAAGAGAGAGGGACUCAGGAUCCAAUUCCAUUUUCCUCUUCCCUUAACUAAAUCGUGCACUUAGAAGCAAGGGGGAAGCAUUCUCGCUACUGCCAUUGUUCCCUCUUUCCAUGUUCGGCUGUACAUUACAAGCAAGCGCAGAUUGAGUCCAUCCUCACCCUUGCAUGCAGCCGGAUUCGGCCCUUGGGAGUUAGGAAUGAGUGGCAGGCUGUUUCUGUUUCGGCUAGGAUCAUUGGUGUGCAGCCAAGGAGGUGCAUGUAUUUCGUGAGUUUGUGGACUUGUCGCUGCUGCCUGGUAAUUUAAUUGUGACAAGUGAGGAUGACGUAAAAGCUUUUGAGGACUUGGAUAUUUGCUGUUGGCUUCUACUGUUUUGGGCAUGCUGCUAUUGAUGUGAUAUUUUAUGGAUGACUGUAUGAAAUUGAGAAGCUUUUAUUACUGUGAACUAUGAUUUUAUUAUUGCAUUACGAUUUUAUGACCAGCAAGUAUUAUGGAAACAGAUGUUGAAACGUUUGCGAAAAGGCUUUUGGCAUGUUAUCUAAAUGCUGAGUUUUGAAAAGUCUUUGCGAGCACUUUGUAAGUUGUCGUACUGGGGCUACGGACCUCCGAUUUUCUUAUAAUUUAUAUGCACGCGUAGCCCCAGGUGUCUAGUUUCAUUAUAGAUAAACCUUGUAAAGAAAUUCUGAAAGCUCGAUUUAUUAUAAAUUUUACCAGCCAGG